rnacentral:tRNA from 1 species
AUUUAAAUAGCUUAAAUUUAGAGCAUAAUAUUGAAGAUAUUAGGGUGAUUAAUWAAUAUWUAUAUA